rnacentral:rRNA from 1 species
GCAAGUCGAACGGUAACAGGAAAUAGCUUGCUAUUUUGCUGACGAGUGGCGCACGGGUGAGUAAUGCAUAGGUAACGUGCCCCUUAGUCUGGGAUAGCCACUGGAAACGGUGAAUAAUACUAGAUACUCCUUUUUACUUAAUGUAAUUUGGGAAAGUUUUUCGCUAAGGGAUCGGCCUAUGUUGUAUCAGGUAGUUGGUGAGGUAAUGGCUCACCAAGCCUAUGACACAUAGCGGGUCUGAGAGGAUGAUC